rnacentral:lncRNA from 1 species
CCGCUCAUCCUGAAGCCCCAUGUACUUGUCGCUUCCACACAUGGGAACACCACCCAGACCGUACCACCGUACACUGCACCACCGCUAAUUGUGGUGCUCCAGCUUCUGCGGGGAUCACCGCUGGUGGAGGCCAAGAGGUUUCGACUGUGCUCGAUCAUCGCCAGUCAAGUUGACGAGGAUCUAUGUCAAAGGGCGUUGGAUAGAGGCGACUCACUCCUCCGAGAUCUUGUGGGUCUUCUGCAGGGUUUGGUGAGGUUGGCCAUGUACCACCAUCGCGCAUGAUAACCCUGCUUAUUAGAAUAGAGGAGGCAACUUCCUUGAUCCUCAUCUUCCUUAGGUUAGUAGUUAUUUGCUUUAGAGAAUUGAAUGUCACUCCAGUUGCCCACAAGGUGUUUGGAAUAAGGUCACAAAGAGAAGCACCAUCCUUUGUUGCUGCUUCACUCAUCACCACUAUUUAAGGACGUAACUAAUCUAGACAGCAACUAAUCACCAAACAUUCUUUUUAUUUUUUACUUUUAUUUCAUAACAAAAAUAAAAAAAUAAAAAAUAUUUUUUAGAAAGUAAAAAUCAAAAAUCAAAAAAUAUAACCUUAGUAUUCCAGCUGCCCUGGAUCUCUGAUUUUUAUUUAGAGUUGCUGGAAGGGAAGAAGACUCCCUCUUGAAGUCUUCCACUUCUUGUUAUAUGUGUAGCAUAUCCAAGGCCGGCAAUAGACCAAGCCCAAGCCGGGAUGAGUCUGACUGAUUGGACCAGACAACUCCAAACACAAUCAUCCAACAAACUCAAUCAUUCACAAAUAAUAAUACAACCACCAAACAAACAUAAUAAUUUAAGUUAGAAACAAGUCCAACUAUAUCAAAUAAUAUAUUACGAUAAAUUUUUCAAUACAAGAGAAUUUUGAUAAGCGAUCCAAUCCUCCAUUUUGCCUUCACCAAUUCACCAACGUAUUACACCUAAAAAAAGAAAAAAAAUACAAACUCAAUUAAUAAGAUAAUUUAUAAUAUAAUUUAUAACCGUUUAUUCAAAGUGUAUAAUUUCAUUAAUACCAAGAAAGGUUCUAUAAAUUAUCACAUUAACAAAAGAGUCAUUUCUGUGACUAUCUUAUGAAGUUCCUAAUUUAGAUUUACACCAACAUAAAAGUUAUUAAAUGCAUUAACCAUCAGACAUGUUCUGUUUCAGAUUCAGUGCCUGUUUCAAUUUCGAAUAGGAUUCAGAUCAAAAGUUCACCAAACCCAAAAUCGAAACCAAAACCUUAAAAUCAUCACUGAAAGCAUCCCCAUUCAAUUUUGGGUAUCCAUUCCCGUUGACACCCCUAACCCAGAAGUUUUCAUUUAAUUAUAAAAUAUUUAUAUCAUGCAGAGAGCAGUACAAUAGAAAUGAAAAGUCAGAGGACAGGAACACAAUGCCACAUGAUAUCAUUCACUCACCGUUGGAAAGAGGCAUUGCAAAUUCCUGCAGAAAUUCAUAGCAAUUGGAUGGUCACCAUUGAAGGGAGUAAACAAUGCAUCAUCACCAUAUCCCGAGGAGGUGGAGGCGGUGAUGCAAAUGAAUGCACUAGAUUUUGUCUAACAGCUGAAUACACAAUGCAGAUGAUGCAAAAUCAUAAACUUUACUCAGAAUAUCCACAUUCUGUUCUAGAAUCAUGCUCUGAAGCUCGAAGAAAGGGCAGUUAAACAUAGAUAAGGUAGAAUCCAUGCAGACUAUGAAGAGGGUGUUUCCAAUAAGACCACCUCGAGAAUACACAAAACGAAUGACACAUUAGCAGAUGCAAUGGCUGCCAAUAGUCAAAAGAAAGGUUUUGCGGGUUACGUAGCUCUGAUUGAUGAGAUUAGCUGCUGAGAUUCUAAACUAUAAUAAGGUGAUUGAUCUAACUAAACAUUGAAAAGAAAAAAGAAAGAUCGAUUGAAGACAUUAAACAUAAAAUAGAACUAUGAAGGGCCUCAACAAGAACAUGGAUUUCAUUAUAAGAAAUUCCAAAAUAAAAUACUUAAACUUGCUUAAGAUCUAAAAUAAGAUGGAAGGGGAAAAAAGAAAUAUAUAGGAAACAAACAAUUGAUCUGCAAUAAAUUGUUAGAUGACUAGGUGCAGAAGGAUUGCACUUUUAUGUUACAUAGCUCAUGAAGUUUACUUUAACGCAUAAAAGAAUACAGUUCUCUAUCAUACUUGAUUUUUACAUCUCAACUAGGAUUUGUUAAUAGUGUAAAGAGAAAGUCCAGCUGUGAAUAUGGGAUCUGAAACGGAGAAAAAUUUAGAGAGAGAGAGAGAGAGAGAGAGAGAGAAUAAAGCCAAUACCAAAACUGA